UACGUAGGCAGCAAGCGUUGUUCGGAAUUACUGGGCGUAAAGAGUGUGUAGGCGGUGUCGCAAGUCCGUGGUGAAAAUCUCUGAGGCUCAACCUUAGAGACUGCCGCGGAAACUGCGGUGCUUGAGGUGUGGGAGAGGUGCGUGGAAUUCCCGGUGUAGCGGUGAAAUGCGUAGAUAGUCGGGACGGAAGCACCUGUGGCGAA
rnacentral:rRNA from 1 species